rnacentral:rRNA from 1 species
GACGAACGCUGGCGGCGUGCUUAACACAUGCAAGUCGAACGAUGAACUUGGAGCUUGCUCUGGGGGAUUAGUGGCGAACGGGUGAGUAACACGUGAGUAACCUGCCCUGGACUCUGGGAUAACUUCGAGAAAUCGGAGCUAAUACCGGAUAGGACCUUGCACCGCAUGGGGUGGGGUGGAAAGUUUUUCGGUUUGGGAUGGACUCGCGGCCUAUCAGCUUGUUGGUGAGGUAAUGGCUCACCAAGGCGUCGCCGGGUAGCCGGCCUGAGAGGGUGACCGGCGACAGUGGGACAGAGACAGGGCCCAGACUCCUACGGGAGGCAGCAGUGGGGAAUAUUGCACAAUGGGCGCAAGCCUGAUGCAGCAACGCCGCGUGCGGGAUGACGGCCUUCGGGUUGUAAACCGCUUUUAGUAGGGAAGAAGCCUUCGGGUGACGGUACCUGCAGAAAAAGGACCGGCUAACUACGUGCCAGCCGCCGCCGUAAUAC